rnacentral:rRNA from 1 species
AGGGGAAUCUUGGACAAUGGACGCAAGUCUGAUCCAGCCAUGCCGCGUGCGGGAAGAAGGCCUUCGGGUUGUAAACCGCUUUUGUCAGGGAAGAAACGCUCUGGGCUAAUACCCUGGGGUAAUGACGGUACCUGAAGAAUAAGCACCGGCUAACUACGUGCCAGCAGCCGCGGUAAUACGUAGGGUGCAAGCGUUAAUCGGAAUUACUGGGCGUAAGGCGUGCGCAGGCGGUUAUGCAAGACAGAUGUGAAAUCCCCGGGCUCAACCUGGGACCUGCAUUUGUGACUGUAUAGCUAGAGUACGGUAGAGGGGGAUGGAAUUCCGCGUGUAGCAGUGAAAUGCGUAGAUAUGCGGAGGAACACCGAUGGCGAAGGCAAUCCCCUGGACCUGUACUGACGCUCAUGCACGAAAGCGUGGGGAGCAAACA